AGUGGCGAACGGGUGAGUAAUGUAUCGGAACGUGCCCAGUCGUGGGGGAUAACGUAGCGAAAGCUACGCUAAUACCGCAUACGAUCUAUGGAUGAAAGCGGGGGAUCGCAAGACCUCGCGCGAUUGGAGCGGCCGAUAUCAGAUUAGGUAGUUGGUGAGGUAAAGGCUCACCAAGCCGACGAUCUGUAGCUGGUCUGAGAGGACGACCAGCCACACUGGGACUGAGACACGGCCCAGACUCCUACGGGAGGCAGCAGUGGGGAAUUUUGGACAAUGGGCGCAAGCCUGAUCCAGCAAUGCCGCGUGCAGGAUGAAGGCCUUCGGGUUGUAAACUGCUUUUGUACGGAGCGAAAAGGCUUCCACUAAUACUGGGGGCUCAUGACGGUACCGUAAGAAUAAGCACCGGCUA
rnacentral:rRNA from 1 species